GCCACCUCCCAUCGCCCCAACACACACGCACACUUCGGUGUGGUCUCGCCUCCUCGAUCCGCAGAUACACACACGCACACACGCCCCGCGAUUAAGACACGAAAAAGGCUCCCUCGCCACUAUGAGAUGGUCCUGGCGGGCCAGUGCCGAAUUCACGUUAAGGCAAUAGUAGUAGUAGUCCAAUGGAAGAGCAGAGGUGCGAACGCGUCAGAUAAUGCCCGAUAACUUAAGAACGGUGUGUAAUAGAGAUAUCCCCCUGUAAAGGUAUAGCCGGCAAUAUGACUCGAAAGGAAGGGAAGGGAAGGGAAGGGAAAGGAAAGGAAGGAAGGAAGGAAGGAAGGAAGGAAGGAAGGAAGGAAGGAAGGAAGGAAGGAAGGAAGGAAGGAAGGAGAAAGAAAGAAAGAGAAAAAGAAAGGAAGGAAGGAAGGAAGGAAAGAGAAAAAGAAAAAUGAAAGGAAAGAAAGAAACAGAAAGGAAAAAGAAAGAAAGAAAAGAAAAGAAAGAAACAGAAAGAAAGAAAGAAAAAAGAAAAAGAAAGAAAGAAAAGAAAAGAAAAGUCUUGGAUAGGAAGGCAGGGAGGGAGGGUAUUUCAAAGCUUUUAAAGAAAUUCACAGGAGGAAAAAGUGCUGGAAAGUGUGAGACUAAAAGCCCAUUACAAGCGCCCACAACUGGAGUUCUUCUUUAGACACCUUGAAGAUUUCGGCGGUAAGAGUGUCUUCAUCCAGACGGCUAUUGAGGUCCCAGGUAAAGAUGCAGAGAAAGGUAUUUAAAUUGUUCACGCUACAUCGGAAAAAAGAGAAACUCUCAAAACAGUCGCCUCCCUCUGCAAGCAGCGCAUAAUAUAACGAGAUGCCCUCAAUGUCAUUUUAAUAAGCAUCACUUUCACGGGCAAACGUGUACGUGUGCGCCUUUCUGAGCGUUUUGUUCGCGACCUCAAUCAAACCCGGGAUCCGACUGUCUGCUUCAGAUAGUUCCCCCUCCCCCGCGUCUCUCUCCGUUUGCAUUCGUCGACAUUUGUUUCCUAUGGGGCGCCUUUAUUAUUAUUAUUAUUCUUUUCUUUUCUUUUCUUUUGCUGCUUUCUCGUUUUCCCAAAGAUAAUUCAUAACCAAGCGAAAUAUCAUUUCAGCUGUGCGCUGCGGUCACGGGUCUCCAGUUGGCGUCGGGUUGGAGCUAAAAAAAAUAAAAUAAAAUUAAUAACGGUCACGGGGCUGCCCUUCCUAUUGUUUUCUGGCGAACGGACUCUGCCGCUUUUUCUCCUGCUUUUCCAGCCCAGCAAGAAAACGCAGAAAGGGGGGGGGGCGAGAAAGAUGGAGGAGUCGGAGGGAGGAUGGGAGUCUCUUAUUCAACAGCGAGGCAAUAACAGCAGCUCAUUAAAUACAAUGCCAAGCAAAUGUCCGCCUGUGGAAGAGCAGCUGAAAGCUUUCCAACCCCUUGUUGGAAAUACCAUCUGUAUCCAGGAGUAGCAAAAGGGGGAUAUUUCUAAACAGCAAAGACAUCCCAUCACAGGGUGGACCAAGCAGCAUUUAACAACUAUGGGAUCACAGCAGGCAUGGACAAAAAAAUCCCAGCUUUCCUUUGUCAUGGCCCUGAGAAAAAUCUUGGUAAGAAUUUGUGGACAGAACAAAGAACAUCAUUAUGUUUUUAGCGUCAGGCAGAAGAUGGCUGACUCUAAGAAUUAGCAGGUAUUACGUGUAACCUGGAAAGAAACUGAUAACAUGGUAAAGAAAGAAACUUAGAAGCUUCUGGAAAAAUUGCCUGGGUGGAAAUGUUUUCUGGGAAAGCAGCUUGGAAAGUGAAUCUCUUCACCAUCACGCAAGAUGACUCUCAUUAAUCUCUCUGAUAAAACCUUCGGUUGAAAGUAGUUACCUAAGAAUAUGUCAAGGGGAGAUAAGAGUGCUUAGUAAUAAUUAUCAUGAAGAACAAGAAACCCACCUGAAAUUACAUUUUUCGCUAAGCUGGUGAUCUGAUGACAAGUAGAUGGUUGAAUGAAGUUAUUAAAUAUGUACAGGAGAGCAUUAUUAAUGGAUUGAGAAUACUGUAUUAAAUAUGUAGAGAUGUUUCAAACUAUGCAACAUUUGUUUGUACUGAUUAACUCUUACUGCAUUUUUCAACAUACAGCUGUAACUCAGCAACAUCUGUUCAUUCCUUUUGAAUAGCCUUCCCUACAGUGAGACAAUAGCCCUCUCCAUAAAUCUUUUUCAUUCAGUUUUAACCCAAAUCUAUUAUCCAUCCAUAUCUUUGGAUUUUUAUUCCACUGUGGGGAACAGUUCACAACUAUAAUAGAAUAUUCUGUUAUCAUACUGAGGUAUACUAUGUGAAGCAAAUUGAUGAUUAAAAAAACAAAAUAACUUACCCAUCUUCCACAGAAAUUUUCCCUUAGGUCCACAUUGCCAGAAUCAAAUAUAGGAUUUUUUAGGGGGAGGGAAGAAGUCAUGGAAGUAACAAAUCUUUGCCCCAAAAAGUGUCAUAGCAGCCAAUGACUGAUUGUGGGAGAAAAUUUUAGAUUAGUGGCAAGCUAUACACUUAGAAUCUUUUAGGUGAUCAGGUGUCAAAGCAGGAAGAAGAGUGUAAAACAGUUCCAUCAGGAUUUUCUGAGGACUGGGAAGCUAUUUAAAAUUAUUUUAGGAUUUGGGCUACAAUUUUUGACUCAGUGGCAAGAAGCCAUUGUUAAUUGUUAUGAGCUGUGAUCUGGAAAUCAUGAAAAAGGGGAAUUGUGAUUGCAGAAAUCAUGUUGCCAGUCCCUCCCUUAGAUGAAUCUCCUUCAACCUGUGGUCCUUAAUUAUGAUGGAAUUUGUUAGUUUGUUUUUUUAAAAAUAAAAUUUAUAUAGCUGCCUACUCGCUCACACAACUCUAAUACACAUCAUAGCAAUUAUUCUGCAAGCUGGAAUUGAUUGGGGUUAUAACUCAACACAUUUGGGGAAGGUUGCUGUGAAGAAAACCACAUCCUUUCAGAGGCCAUAUAAUGGCUUCUCUCUCUCUCUCUCUCUCUCUCAGAAGGGUGGCAUUUUAUGUUAAGAGGCGGAGGGCGGGGGAUCUCCGCAAGGUGAAUAUAUUUCAUAUCAGGUCACAGUCUUCUCAAACUGAAUGUUAAAUACUUAACAUUAUGUUCAAGGUAAAAGUGGGAAGGAAGGAAAAAGAUGGGAGAGAGGAGAGAAAGAGAGGCACUUUGGUGGUAUUUAUUGCACAUGCUUUGCAUAUCUAAUGGGAAGAAAUUUGCUAUUGUGUUCUUUUUUUAAUUCACAACUUUUGCUGCCUUCCUAGUUUAUUUCUGCUGGUGGUUUUGAAAGGCAUUUCUUAGAGAAAAAAAAUCAAUCAGGUAAAGUUGGAUUGUGAAUGUUGGGUAGAUACAGUUUGGACAAGGGAGAUGCAGGAAUUCAACAUCAGAUUUGCAUAAUAUAUCUUUCCUAAUCAAAUGUUAUCAUCUGUAUAAUUGUUUUUGAUCCCCUCCCUCUGCUGAAGGAUAUAAAGAGUGGUAAGAUUGCUGUUAUAUGCAUAUCAGUAUCAAUUUCAAUUUCUAUCUCAAAGAUAUAGUAGGAAAAUCACACAAACUUUUAACAGUUUUAUAUUUAUCCACAUUGUUUAUAUUAUUAUUUUUUAAAUACAUGCUGUAUAUCUCCACUAAGGCCUAUUAGUGCUCUGCCAAGAACAUAUAUCUAUAAUUACUGUAGAGAGAGAAAGAUAUUAUUUCUUGUGGGUGUGCUAUGAAAAGCUACUAAAUCUAUCGACUACUAUUUCCAGAAUGCAGCUGCACAUUUGACUUUCUCCUCUUUGAAAUGUUCCAAUUUUGGAGUUUGACAUACCCUGAUUUUGGAGUUUCCCAUUUCCUGAAAAGUGAACCACGACAGGAGGAGCUAACUAUUAUAGCCUCCUUGGUAAGUUCAAUAUGUCAAUAAGGAAUUAUUUUGCAAGAUUUCAAUUCCGCUCAUUUGACAAGGUAUAAUAUUUAACUGUAAAGUCAUACUCAAGUUGACUCCCCAUUCAACUGAAGUGCAAAAAGAAAAUCUUGGGCUAAUCCAAGUCUCAGCGUAGCCUGUUUUCCAAGUUAUUCUAAAGAUUAAACAGCGGUAUUGUGACUGUAUCCCAUAUGCCUGUUGACAAAUUCACACAUAUCCAAGUGCUUCCCUUUGUCAGAGAUACUGUACAAAGGGUUUAGUUUUUUAAGAACAAAGCAUGAGUGAACUUGGGAAAAGCCUAGGCAAAAUUGGGAGUUCAUCUUCUUAUCAGGUAAAGGUUUCCCUGUCCAGUGGUGUCUGUCCUAGGGCCGUGCUAGGGUGUUGUACUCAUCUCUGUUUCUUGGCCAAGGGAGCCAGCGUUGAGUGUGAAGACAUUUUCCAUGGUCAUGUGGCCAGCAUGGCUAUACGCCAAAGGUGCAUGGAAUGCUGUUACCUUCCCACCGAAGUGCUACUUAUUAAUUUACUCACAGUUGCAUCAGUGGUGGGUUUCAAAUUUUUUUACUAUCGGUUCUGUGGGUGUGGCUUGGUGGGCGUGGCAUGGCUUGGUGGGCGUGGCAGAGAAAAGAUACUGUAAAAUCUCCAUUCCCACCCCACUCCAGGGGAAGGUUACUGCAAAAGCCCCAUUUUCUCCCAAUCAACUGGGACUCCAGAGGCAGAGAACAGAUAUGGGCGGGGCCAGUCAGAAUUUUUAUUACCGGUUCUCUUAACUACUCAAAAUUCCCGCUACUGGUUCUCCAGAACUGGUCAGAACCUGCUGAAACCUACUUCUGAGUUGCAUGUUUUAAACUGCUAGGUGGGCAUUAGCUGGAGCAGGAACAGGAGCUCUUCCCAUUGCGUAACACUUGGGUCUCAAACCUGGGCUUCCAGCUUUCCAUCUUCUUAGCAGCCUGAGUAAUCAGGAGCUGCCCCAUAAAUCUGAAGAAAGUCCAGGAAAAUGAAGUACACGAAUUCUUGCUUUAGAUUUUCUAUAUAGAGAGCAAAAGGUCUAGCUAGAAAAUUCAUUAUACUUUUUCUUACUGUGCUGUACAAUAUUAGAAAAACUGCAGAUGUCUCGUCAUCCUUGCAAUCUAUUCUUUGAGUUGAGCAUAACGACAUUAUUUUAUUUAUAAACUUAUCAGCUGUAAUAAGUUGAACUCCCUGCAGGAUGUUUUUCAGAAUUAUGCUGGAUAAAUUCUUAUUUGAAGCAAACCAUUCUGUGUUGGGUAAGAGAACAUGCUAUGUACUUCUUUAAAUUUCUUUUAAAGUAAAAUUAUUUUCAUCUACCUUAUUUAUUUUUUUUUAAAAACCUAAACAUGGAUUUGGUUUACCGUAUAUACUCGAGUAUAAGCCGAGUUUUUCAGCACGUUUUUUGUGCUGAAAAACGUCCCCUCGGCUUAUACUCGGGUCUAUACGGCUUAUACUCGAGUUUGUUUUUUUUUUAAAGCCCCUCGGCUUAUACUCGAGUAUAUACGGCUUAUACUCGAGUUUUUGUUUUUUUUUUCACAUUUUACCGGACGGCGCGGGGAAGCCCUGCCGGUGCAGUGAGAGGGCGGGGCGGGGGAGCCGCCAGCCUUCUCAGCUGAGGGAGGGAGGGUUUCCCCAACCGGUAGGUGCCUCAUUUCCCACCCUCGGCUUAUACUCGAGUCCCCAGUUUACCCCCGUUUUUGGGGUAAAAUUGGGGACCUCGGCUUAUACUCGGAUCGGCUUAUAUUCGAGUAUAUACGGUAUUCCUUAUGUGAUUGGUCUGAUCUUUCAAGGAAAGGCAAAAACUUCUAACUGUGCACCUUUUAAGUUACAUUGCCAAGAUAUUCCAUUAUUCUACCAAUUACUUCAUUUCGCUUACAUUUUCUACUUGUGAAGCACCAGUCAUCUUUUUCAUAGACCAGAAUUAAGGAAAAAAAUGCCAAAUGAUGUGUUACUUGGAAGAUAGGUGGAGGCAGAAGGAAUUAUUAGGCUUCAAAGCAGUAACCCUGAAGCAGAGAAGAGGACCAGAUGUUAAAAUUCAGAGGACGUCUGGGUAGAAGUCUUAAAAACCUCCAAUAUUUUACUUUAUAGGAUUAACCACUUCUCUGUAGGAGAUGGGAGAAAAGGUAUCUUCUGGUUUAAAUUAAUUAAUGGAAAAAUGGAAAUAUGUAUAUUCCAUUUUCCCACAAUUUAAUAUUUAUUUAUUUAUUUAUUUAUUUAUUUGAAUAAAUAAAUAAAUAUGUCUAACAUUUCAGAAUUCUUCUCACUGAUUAGUUCCCUGUGAUAUUAAAUGACAACUUUUUUCAAUGGUCAAAAUUAACAAAUAGCUGGAAUGAGUUAGCAGUGACAUCUGGUGUUAGCAAUAGGCUUAUGCAGCGAUCUCUCCAAGGGAAUGCAUUAUUUCUUCUGACGGCUGAUGGGAAGCAACUAGAGAGAAUAAAAUGCUGAAAAAUUCACAAGCAUUAAACUGAAUAGUAAAUGUUUAUCCACUUUAUUAUAGGUAGUUGGUAAGAAGAAAAAUAAAAGUUAUAAUAUUGUCCACAUCUCAAAAUACAUUUUUCUUAAAACUUAAAAAAAAUACAAAAACCAAAGGGAUACUGCUUUGAUGAUGAUAUCCUCAAUUGUCUUUCUCUUCCAAGAAAAUGAGUGAUGUUCUCUUAUUUGAACAGUCACAAGUUUAUUUGUGCAGGAUCAGAACUCUGAAAUCUAUUUCUGUUUCGUCGUAGAAAACUAAUUCAUGCAGUUUCUCUAGUGCUUCAACGAGCAAGUUAACAAAUAAAACAACUGUGAGAAAGAAAAAGCAUUACUUUCCUGCCAAAUGUUCCCCCCUCACCACCCCAGCCACUGGCCACAAAGCACAGCAAUGAAAAUCAGGUUCAGGUAACUUCAAAGGGUUAAGUUCAGGUGGGACCGUGGUUCAAGCCAUCCAAAGAGGGUCUGAUUGGGAUUAUCUAUCAUAAAAACAUCCACAGAAUAUUUUUUUUAAAUUCUCAAGUAAACAAUAUUGAUAGAUGCAAAGUUGAUGUAAUACUCUUAAUUAAUUUAGUUAGCUUAGCUUACGGAGCUCUGCUUUCGUCUAGAUCAGCCUUUCUCAAACUUUUCACCCUCAAAAGUAAAUUUCAACUCUCAGGGAACCUCUGCUUAACAAUUAUUGUAUCUACAAUUCAUGAUAUGUCAAGCAUCAAAACACAGGCUGUUUUCUGUCAUGAUUUCUUGCACAACUCUAGGCUGAUCCAGAACCUCACCAUUAAAAAUAAAAAAAAAGUUUUUUUGCAAUACCGAGGCUUCUGAGAGUCCAUUCUCAUCUAUUGAUCGUUCAUAGAUAGAAAGAAAAAGAUAUUUUCCCCAGCCCUUUCCACAAAGAGAAGAUUGGUAAUUGCCUAGGGAAACAUAGUGUAGCUUUAAGUUCAAAAGACAGCUGAAGGCUGCUUUACAAUCCUUAAAUUCACCUUCCAUCAGCUACUUUGCAGAGUUUUAUCCAGUGGAACUUGUUCUUUCUGUCUUAUUUUGAUUUUGCCAAACAGUGAAAAAAUUUGAAGGGGUGCAAUCCCAACAAAGCUUUAUUAUUAUUUCUUUUGAUUUUGUUGCAAGUCCGAGAAUGGAGAAACUUAUUUUCUUUACACUAAAUAAAAAUAGCACAGUAGCUGACCAAGAUACAAUGUAGAACUUACUGCAGCUUUUUCAGACAGACAGACAGACAGACAGACACACACACACACACACACACACACACACACACAAAAUCAAGGUCACGUGAAGGAUUAGUGCCACUUUACAAAACCCUAGUAAGACCACAGCUGGAAUACGGCAACAAAUUUUGGUCACCAUACUACAAAAAAGAUGUUGAGGCUUUGGAAAAAGUUCAGAGAAGAGCAACUAAGAUGAUCAAAGGCCUGGAGACUAGACCAUAUGAAGAACGGCUGCAGGUUUUGGGGCUGGCUAGUCUAAAGGAAAGAAGAAUUAGGGGUGACACGAGAGGCUGUCAUAAAGAAAAGGGAGUCAAAUUAUUCUCCAAUGCGCCAGAGGGCAGGACAAAAAAUAAUGGUUGGAAACUAAUCAAAGAGAGAAGUAACCUGGAAUUAAGGAGAAACUUCCUAACAGUGAGGACAAUUAACCAGGGGAACAGCUUGCCUUCAGAAAUCGUGGUCGCUCCAUCACUGGAGGUUUUUAAGGAGAGACUGGACAGUCACUUGUCUGAAAUAGUAUAGGUUCUCCUGCUUGAGCAGGGAGCUGGACUAGAAGACCUCCAAGGUCCCUUCCAGUUCUAUUCUAUUCUGUUCUGUUCUGUCCUGUCCUGUCCUGUUCUGUCCCGUCCUAUGAUAGAUAGAUGAUAGAUAGAUAGAUGAUAUAUAUAUUCAGUUCUACAGAGGAAUUAUUGAGUCUGUCAUUUGCACCUCUAUAACUGUCUGGUUCGGUUCUGCAACCCAACAAGAAAAACACAGACUUCAGAGGAUAAUUAGAACUGCAGAAAAACCAAUUGUUACCAACCUGCCUUCCAUUGAGGACCUGUAUACUGCACGAAUCAAGAAGAGGGCCGUGAAAAUAUUUGCAGAUCCCUCGCAUCCUGGACAUAAACUGUUUCAACUCCUACCCUCAAAACGACGCUAUAGAGCACUGCACACCAGAACUAGACACAAGAACAGUUUUUUCCCGAAGGCCAUCACUCUGCUAAACAAAUAAUUCCAUCAACACUGUCAAACUAUGUACUGAAUCUGCACUACUAUUAAUCGUCUCAUAGUUCCCAUCACCAAUCUCUUUCCACUUAUGACUGUAUGACUAUAACUUGUUGCUGGCAAUCCUUAUGAUUUAUAUUGAUAUAUUGACCAUCAAUUGUGUUGUAAAUGUUGUACCUUGAUGAAGGUAUCUUUUCUUUUAUGUACACUGAGAGCAUAUGCACCAAGACAAAUUCCUUGUGUGUCCAAUCACACUUGGCCAAUAAAAUUCUAUUCUAUAAAAAUUCUAUUCUACCUGUAUAUAUAAAGGUAGAGAGGUAGAUAGAUGGAUAGAUAGACAGACAGACAGACAAACAGACAGAUAGAUAGAUAGAUAUAGAGGUAGAUAGAUAAAUUGAGUGAGUGAGUGAGUGAGUGAGUGAGUGAGUGAAUGAGUGAGUGAGCUUUUGAGCAUUGACUCCUGGUGACUGGGUGAAGUAGUCUCUGCAAUUUUCUUAGCAAGAUUUUUGGAAAUAGCUUACCAUUGCCUCCUUCUUAGGGCUGUGCUAGAGUGACUGGCUCACAUUCACUUAGCUAUUGUUAUCUCACAGCUCUUGCUUUUUCUUGUAUUUUUGAUGAUUUUUCAAUCAUUUUCUAGCACUCCAGCCCCUGAAUUCCCAUAGGCUAAUUUUCUUCAUUGUUGACAGCUAGAACUUUUACCCCCAUAAAUAACAUAGUCUAAUAUUCAGUUGUGAAGAAAACAGAGAGGAACGGAGGUUAAGAUCUAAAAGUUCCCCCUAAUAGAAGCUCUGAACAUCUAUAUAUUUAAUUGGAGACAAUAAAGGGAAAACUCAUUAUAUUUUUAUAGGCGUUAAUUAUUUCUCUUCCUUUUUCUUUCCCUGCUGUUUACCACUGCCUCUAAAUUCACACUGGUAUGAAUUGUUCGUUUUUGUUUCCAAGUGCAGAAUUAAGCAGGGAGAUGGUAGGAGUUGAACCAGAUAAAUCCAGCUGAGAACAAAAUAUAUACAACCUCACAUACAGGUUGUACUUUAUGUUGCAAUAUCACAGAAGCUAAUAGAUUCCAAAAGGAUUGUAAAGGAAAACCCGGAGGGAGGGAAUUGUAAAUACAUACAUUCCAAAUGUGUCUCUUUAAAUAAAUGACUGGCAGUCUGGUAAACAAGCAUUUUUACUACAUAAAACAACACAUGCACAAACUUUAAAAAAAAAGCAUGUUCAUGGCACACUGCUACUAUUUUGAGAUAAUUCUUCAGUGGAGAAUUACUUGUUUAUUUUGUCGUCUUUUGCAGAGUAUGAUGAGUGACAGGGACAAUAUAACUGACAUAUAUAAAAAGAAGACUAAAUGUAAGAACAAGCAUUGCUUUCUCUCUUACUUUUCCUCUACAUAUGUGCUUUUCUAUCAUUUUCUCUUUGAUCUUGUUUUAUUAACUUUUUAAAGAGCCUUUUAUAUUUAAAUUGGUUGUUUUUGAAUGGUGUUUAUGUGUUUGGAUUUUAUUAUGUAUGGUACCCAGAGUUACUAUAACAACUCUAGGUACUGUACAUAGAUGUGGAGCUAAAUAAAUGUGAUUAAAUAAUUUCUUCCAUGUUGAAAAAAAAAAAUAUGGAGCGUAUUCUAGAUCUGGGGUCUCCAACCUUGGCAACUUUAAGCCUGGAGAACUUCAACUCUCAGAAUUCAAGUUGAAGUCCGCCAGGCUUAGUUGCCAAGGUUGGAGACCCCUGUUCUAGAUGGCUACAGUUCACUGAAGCCUUAGAGAAAUUAACUUAAAGUAUGUAUCAAACAUCUCUUACCCUUCAUCUUUUAUAACUUCCAGAUCAAAGUUUUGGGAAAGUAGUUCUACAAAAGGAGAAAUCACGGAGAAACAAAGUCUCUUUCAGAGAACUACCUAUCUUUCUUAUUCCACCCUUUUAAAAUUGCUGAUUUUUGGUAAGGACUUUCAAAUUUCAGAAUACAGGUAGUCUUCAAUUUACGACCACAAUUGAGCUUAUAAUUUAUGUUGUUAAGUGAGACAUUUGUUAAGUGAGUUUUGCCCCAUUUUAUGACCUUUCUUGCCACAGCUGUUAAGGAGACCAUUGCAGUUGUUACAUUAGUAGCACAGUUGUUAAGUAAAUCUGGCUUCCCCGUUGAUUUUGCUGGUCAGAAGGUUGCAAAAGCUGUUUGCGUGACCCCAGGACAUAACUAUGCAACCGUCAUAAAUAUGAACCACUUGCCAAGCAUCCAAAUUUUGAUUACAGAACCAUAGGGUUGCGGCAAUGGUUGUUAGUGUAAAAAAUGGUCAUAAGUCACUUUUUUCAGUGCCAUUGUCACUAAAUGAACUAUUGUUAAGUCGAGGACAACCUGUAUGCUACGUUCAUGGUGAACAAUAAAUCCAAAAUACAGAUGAAUAUUAUUUUUUUGUAGUCGGGAUGAAGACAUUGAGACAGAAAUUCAGGCAGUCCUUGAGAUACAACCACAAUUGGGACUGGCAUUUCAAUUGCUAGGUGAUGCAAUCAUAAAAGCAAGAUGUCAUAUGACCAGAUAACUUAACAAUCCCAGCAAUCCCUUAGGUCAUUAAGUGAAUUUUACCACUUGUUAGCAGAAUCUCAGCACAAUCCAAGCCAUUCUGGGCUUGGUCCCUCUCAGCCCUGAAUCCCAGUAACUUUUUCCACCCGUCUCUCUCCCCCCACCACCCGCCAAUUUCUCUGUCUAUUUGGCCGCAUUCCAACCUACCUUCUGGGCAGCAAGCAGCCCAGAACUGCACGGCUCUAUGGCUGCUUGUCACCGUCCGGGAAACCACCAAAGCCCACCACACAGAACUGGCCUUCACUACCUUCUUGCUCCUGCUGCUGACAAGGCAUGCCCAGCCUGGCUGCCAUCCAGAUUGGGGGCUGGGCUUUGUGUUGAGCUGCGGCUCAGGGGUUGCUUUUUGCACCAAAAGCAUUCCUUUGCACCAUACUCUUGAUUGAAUCAGUACUGGCUUUAUGAUGGCAAAAAAAAAUAAAAAAAAAUCCUAAAAGCAGCCUGAACUGAGUCAUGCAAAAACACCUCUUUGCAAAUAACUCUUGGACUAGACUGGG